UCCAACCAAGGCGUUAAGAUGACCCAAGGCGUUAAGAUGAUGUCAGAAACCACUCACUGCAGACAAGGAAACAAACACCUAUUCCAGGUCAUCUCACGCUG